CGCCAGACUCCUACGGGAGGCAGCAGUGGGGAAUAUUGCACAAUGGGGGAAACCCUGAUGCAGCGACGCCGCGUGAGCGAUGAAGUAUUUCGGCAUGUAAAGCUCUAUCAGCAGGGAAGAAGAUGACGGUACCUGACUAAGAAGCCCUGGCUAACUACGUGCCAGCAGCCGCGGUAAUACGUAGGGGGCAAGCGUUAUCCGGAUUUACUGGGUGUAAAGGGAGCGUAGACGGCGAUGCAAGCCAGAUGUGAAAGCCCGGGGCUCAACCCCGGGACUGCAUUUGGAACUGUGUGGCUGGAGUGUCGGAGAGGCAGGCGGAAUUCCUAGUGUAGCGGUGAAAUGCGUAGAUAUUAGGAGGAACACCAGUGGCGAAGGCGGCCUGCUGGACGAUGACUGACGUUGAGGCUCGAAAGCGUGGGGAGCAAACAGGAUUAGAUACCCCAGUAU
rnacentral:rRNA from 1 species